GUGUGCGCAAGAGAGAAUGAGGGCGCCUUCCCCAGGCGCCUCUCAAUAUGAAGCUCUGACUGUUGAGCCCACAGAGCUGAAGGCAGUGCUAGCAAGAGGCUUAGACGUUUUUACACCACUGCCGCCGCCACCGCCACCACCACCACCGCCACCACCACCGCCACCACCGCCACCACCGCCACCACCGCCAGGCUGCCGGCGCCCAGAGAGCUUUUGGGCUUGUCUGUUAAGAACCACACCAAAUCAAGAGAGGUCAGAAUCAGAUUUGGGGUCUUCCCCUCCCCCAACCCAGAGUGAGAAGGCUGGAAGGAGAGACAGUGAGGAUGGGAUGGAGGGGCAUCCUGCCCUUGUCAACAUGCCGAGGCCAGUGGACGGAGGGCGCAGCCCGUCAUAAGGAAGUGACGACGACGAAGUAGUGCCGGGGAAGGGGAAUCACAGCAUGGAACGUAUGGGGUGUGGGGUCAUCGGGAUUAGUGUUCAAGCCGGAAAGAUCCGUUUUGCCCUGCGCCGAACCCAGAGCCUCCCCUCUGCACUUCUCGUUUACAUAAGAAAUAGGAAGGAUAAUUUCAGAGCCCCUCUUGCUUAUCAUCAAAAGGUUGGGGAAAUCAAUUCAAGAAAUUGAGCCUGUGACCUCAAAGCUUCUCCUACGAUUAAUCCCAGUCCGAUGGGACGAUAUUUGGUAGGAAAUGUGAUCCGGGAACCAGCCCCACUCCUACUGUAAAAAUAAUGCAGAUACAGGGAAUGUGCUGACCUAAGGAGCCCUCGAACACAGUUAAAACGGUGGCUGAUGACACUCUAACAAGCGUGUGAGCGCCGGCCGGUUUCCCAUCCCUGGAAAGCAGGAAGAUGCUGCCUGGUUGAAGGCAACCGCUGUCAGAUGUCACUGGCCUUUGAAAGGAAGGGGUGUAAGGAGCUGCUCCUCGCGUCUGCACCCCUAGAGGUGUCUGCUCAUGCCCCUCAGUGCAUGGGGUGUGGACUCAGCAAGAUGGCGGGAGGGCGGGGAGGAGGGAGGGCAGGAGGGAACAUGCUUGGCCUUCCCUGCCUCCCAGAGGCCUGAGACCCACUGGGUGGAGGCCUCAGGGUCUACCGGAUCCCCCACGGGGGGGGGGGGGGGGAAGGAACUCUAGGCUAGGCGUGCGAGGGCGGCGCCCCUCACCUUCGGUUUGGAAAGGUUUCUUUUCUCCUCUGGGAUAGACAGAAACACACUGUGGGUUCCGCUCCCAUCCCAGAAACCGAGAUAAGUAAUUAAGCCUCUCAGAAUUUUAAACCACCUUAGCCUGCAGAUCAAAACAUGCUUAAAAAACUAAGAUGUCCAUGCAUUUUAAAAAAAUGGGAGAAGGGAGGGGUGGGGAUGGGGGGCGGGGCAUAAGCAAAAGUGAGAGAGGACAAGGACAAAGGGGAGGGAGGAGGGGGAAGAGAAAAGGGGACACAGGAAACAAGGGAGUGAUGUCAAGCAGCAUUCCAUGCUAUAUUAGGGCAGAGUAAAAAGAUGGGAAAGCAACUUGGUGGGCUCAAAACAGAAUCUUGUUAAAAUGUCCUCAAAUGUCAAAUAAAAUUAGAAACCCUG